rnacentral:rRNA from 1 species
AUUGAACGCUGGCGGCAGGCUUAACACAUGCAAGUCGAGCGGAGCGGAGGACGGGUGAGUAAUACCUAGGAAUCUGCCUGGUAGUGGGGGAUAAUGUUCGGAAACGGACGCUAAUACCGCAUACUAUCAGAUGAGCCUAGUUGGGAUUAGCGAGUUGGUGAGGUAAUGGCUCACCGAGGCUACGAUUCGUAACUCGUCUGAGAGGAUGAUCAGUCACAAUUGAACUGAGACACGGUCCAGACUCCGACGGGAGGCAGCAGUGGGGAAUAUUGGACAAUGGGCGAAAGCCUGAUCCAGCCAUGCCGCGUGUGUGAAGAAGGUCUUCGGAUUGUAAAGCACUUUAAGUUGGGAGGCGUUACCGACAGAAUAAGCACCGGCUAACUCUGUGCCAGCAGCCGCGGUAAUUC